UGGGGAAUUUUGGACAAUGGGCGAAAGCCUGAUCCAGCAAUGCCGCGUGUGUGAAGAAGGCCUUCGGGUUGUAAAGCACUUUUGUCCGGAAAGAAAUCCUUGGCUCUAAUACAGUCGGGGGAUGACGGUACCGGAAGAAUAAGCACCGGCUAACUACGUGCCAGCAGCCGCGGUAAUACGUAGGGUGCAAGCGUUAAUCGGAAUUACUGGGCGUAAAGCGUGCGCAGGCGGUUUGCUAAGACCGAUGUGGAAUCCCCGGGCUCAACCUGGGAACUGCAUUGGUGACUGGCAGGCUAGAGUAUGGCAGAGGGGGGUAGAAUUCCACGUGUAGCAGUGAAAUGCGUAGAGAUGUGGAGGAAUACCGAUGGCGAAGGCAGCCCCCUGGGCCAAUACUGACGCUCAUGCACGAAAGCGUGGGGAGCAAACAGGAUUAGAUACCCUGGUAGUCCACGCCCUAAACGAUGUCAACUAGUUGUUGGGGAUUCAUUUCCUUAGUAACGUAGCUAACGCGUGAAGUUGACCGCCUGGGGAGUACGGUCGCAAGAUUAAAACUCAAAUGAAUUGACGGGG
rnacentral:rRNA from 1 species